rnacentral:tRNA from 1 species
GCCUGGGUGGCUCGAUCGGUUAAGUGCCUGACUUUAGCUCAGGUCAUGAUCUCACGGUUUGUGGGUUUGAGCCCCGCGUCGGGCU